rnacentral:rRNA from 1 species
GACGAACGCUGGCGGCGUGCUUAACACAUGCAAGUCGAGCGGGUAAGGCCCUUCGGGUACACGAGCGGCGAACGGGUGAGUAACACGUGGGUGACCUGCCCUCAGCUCUGGGAUAAGCCUGGGAAACCGGGUCUAAUACCGGAUACGACGCAUCGGGUGCAUGCCGUUGCGUGGAAAGUUUUUUCGGCUGGGGGAUGGGCCCGCGGCCUAUCAGCUUGUUGGUGGGGUGAUGGCCUACCAAGGCGGNGACGGGUAGCCGGCCUGAGAGGGCGACCGGCCACACUGGACUGAGACACGGCCCAGACUCCUACGGGAGGCAGCAGUGGGGAAUAUUGCGCAAUGGGCGGAAGCCUGACGCAGCGACGCCGCGUGGGGAUGACGG